rnacentral:rRNA from 1 species
AGCGAACGCUGGCGGCAGGCUUAACACAUGCAAGUCGAACGGGCGUAGCAAUACGUCAGUGGCAGACGGGUGAGUAACGCGUGGGAACGUACCUUUUGGUUCGGAACAACACAGGGAAACUUGUGCUAAUACCGAAUAAGCCCUUACGGGGAAAGAUUUAUCGCCGAAAGAUCGGCCCGCGUCUGAUUAGCUAGUUGGUGAGGUAACGGCUCACCAAGGCGACGAUCAGUAGCUGGUCUGAGAGGAUGAUCAGCCACAUUGGGACUGAGACACGGCCCAAACUCCUACGGGAGGCAGCAGUGGGGAAUAUUGGACAAUGGGCGCAAGCCUGAUCCAGCCAUGCCGCGUGAGUGAUGAAGGCCCUAGGGUUGUAAAGCUCUUUUGUGCGGGAAGAUAAUGACGGUACCGCAAGAAUAAGCCCGGCUAACUUCGUG